GAUGAACGCUGGCGGCGUGCCUAACACAUGCAAGUCGAGCGAUUCUCUUCGGAGAAGAGCGGCGGACGGGUGAGUAACGCGUGGGUAACCUGCCCUGUACACACGGAUAACAUACCGAAAGGUAUGCUAAUACGAGAUAAUAUACUUUUAUCGCAUGGUAGAAGUAUCAAAGCUCCGGCGGUACAGGAUGGACCCGCGUCUGAUUAGCUAGUUGGUAAGGUAACGGCUUACCAAGGCGACGAUCAGUAGCCGACCUGAGAGGGUGAUCGGCCACAUUGGAACUGAGACACGGUCCAAACUCCUACGGGAGGCAGCAGUGGGGAAUAUUGCACAAUGGGCGAAAGCCUGAUGCAGCAACGCCGCGUGAGCGAUGAAGGC
rnacentral:rRNA from 1 species